UGUUGCAAUAGCUGUCUUCGCACAGGCAUCUGCAUUUUCGUUACCAAGAAUGCCUGAAUGACCUGGAAUCCAUGCUAAAACGAUGUUAAUAUUGAGGUCAUAGCAUUCUUUCAAAGAUUCCCUUAUUUUAAAUAUAAUUGGAAAAUGACUUUUAGACCUAAAUGGAUUUGACAGUAUUGAUUGAAGGCAACUUUUGGAGUCUGAAAGAAUAAUAGAAUUGUUCAUGCCAUGAGCCUUAACAAAUAAAAUUGCUUCAAGAAUGGCAAUUGAUUCCCCAGUGAAAACAGAAGUGAUAGAUGGGCAGCUGUAACUGAGUAUAAUUCUUGUUGAAGGAAUCCAUGCUGCAGCACCAACAGGGCUCAUGUCUGUUUUUGAAGCAUCAGUGUAGAUUUUAUGCCAAUUUUGAAAAUCAGAGUACAUUAUCCGAGAAAAAGUUUUAUUGGCUUCUAUGGAAAACUUAUCUAUACCUAAGUUUAAAAUUACAGAUGGUUGGAAAGUGAGUGCACUAAAAGGCAUAGUAAAUAGAGGCAAUUUAGAAUAUUGGAAGAGGGGGUAAGAGAGGUGAGAGAAUAAUAAGUAACUGUGGAGAAUGCAGGGUCUUUUGUCUUCAGGAAUAUUAUUAUUAUUGUAUAAAGCAAAUAGUUGGUCUAAUUUUGGAAGCAAGGGAUGUCCACAACAUUCAGCUAAUUUGAGAAAAAAAUUAUUGGCAAGAAAUUGACGGCGAAGUGAAAGGGGAGGUUCCACACACUCUACUUGCAUGGCAUUAAUCGGGCUAGAUUUCAUGGCUCCUAAUAUUAUGCGCAAGCAUUUAGCCUGAAUUUUGUCCAGUUUAUUCAGACCUGCUUUAUUUCCUGGGAUCAAGAACAUAGUGCCGUAAUCCAUGUGGCUGCGAAUGAUUGCAUUGUACAAUAAUUUUUGGGUGAAGGGGUGAGCUCCUCACCAGACACCAGAUACAGAGCGCAGGAUAUUAAUGUUUUUCUCACAUUUCUGUGAGACAUAAUCAAAAUGCCUUAUGCCUGAUAAUUUUUGAUCUAACCAAAUCCCUAGAAAUUUAACAUUGGUAACAACAGCAGUUGAUAGUGACAACCCAUGUUGCAUUAAAUAAUCAGCAAGAUAUUCAAGUGCACAAUUUAACUGAUUGGAUGAAUCCUGUAUGGACUUGUUGGAAGUAUACAGAACAAUAUCAUCUGCAUAUUGCAGUGUUUGGCAGAAGGGGGAUACAGAGCUAUUGAGGUCAUAUGUAUACAGAUUGUAGAGAAGGGGACUAAGGACUGAGCCUUGAGAAACUUUUGCAAGAGUAGAAGAGAGGGCAAUUGGUCUAUAACUUGUGGCUUCAGAUGGAUUCUGACCAGGUUUAAGAAUUGGUAUUAUUACCUGAUUUUUCCAGGGUGGAGGGAUGACCCCAAAAUCAAAAAGGUUAUUUAUAAUAUCUAGGUAAUAUUUCUUGGAUGUAGUUGAUGAGUUUUUGAUGAAAGAAUAGGGGAUUCCAUCUGCGCCAGGAGCAGAAUCAGCUAGACCGUCUAAAGCGAGAAGGAGUUCAGAAAAAGAGAAAGGAGACUCUAAACUAUGAGUAGAGGCAAGAGGGCUUGGAGGGGAUGGAAAAUAGUCCAUGUUUGGAGCUGAAGGGGGGGACAUUCUAUCUGAAAAGUAUUCAAGCCAUAAAGAUGAAUCCACACUUAAAUCAUGCUCUUGAGCACAAAAUGAACCUCUAAAUUUUUUAAUUUGUUUCCAAACCAUUGAGGAUGAAGUGCUUGGAGACAAAUUUUGGCAAAAGUU